rnacentral:rRNA from 1 species
UACGUCUACGGGGGGCAGCAGUAGGGAAUUUUCGGCAAUGGGGGGAACCCUGACCGAGCAACGCCGCGUGAAGGAAGAAGGAAUUCGUUCUGUAAACUUCUGUUAUAAAGGAAGAAAGACGGAUGGAGGAAAUGACAUCCGAGUGACGGUACUUUAUGAGAAAGCCACGGCUAACUACGUGCCAGCAGCCGCGGUAAUACGUAGGUGGCAAGCGUUGUCCGGAUUUAUUGGGCGUAAAGCGAGUGCAGGCG